rnacentral:tRNA from 1 species
GGGGUUGUGGUUCAAUGGAAAAAAAAAACUCUGCUUUGGAUGCAAAAGGGCCCAGGUUCAAUCUCUAUCAACUCCA